rnacentral:rRNA from 1 species
GACGAACGCUGGCGGCGUGCCUAAUACAUGCCAGUAGAACGCUGAAGGAGGAGCUUGCUUCUCUGGAUGAGUUGCGAACGGGUGAGUAACGCGUAGGUAACCUGCCUGGUAGCGGGGGAUAACUAUUGGAAACGAUAGCUAAUACCGCAUAAUAGUAGAUGUCGCAUGACAUUUGCUUAAAAGGUGCAAUUGCAUCACUACCAGAUGGACCUGCGUUGUAUUAGCUAGUUGGUGAGGUAACGGCUCACCAAGGCAACGAUACAUAGCCGACCUGAGAGGGGGAACGGGCAAGCUGGGACGGGGACACGGGCCAGAAGCCUACGGGGGGGAGCCGGAGGGGAAUCUUGGGGAAGGAAGGAAAGUCGAACGGGGAACGCCGGGUGAGGGAAGAAGGGUUUCGGAUCGUAAAGGUCCGUUGUAAGGGAAGGAAGGGGUUGGGAGGGGAAAGUUCACACUGUGACGGUAUCUUAACAAAAAGGGACGGCUAACUACGUG